GUGCCAGCAGCCGCGGUAAUACGAAGGGGGCUAGCGUUGCUCGGAAUCACUGGGCGUAAAGGGCGCGUAGGCGGAUCUUUAAGUCGGGGGUGAAAGCCCAGGGCUCAACCCUGGAAUUGCCUUCGAUACUGAAGAUCUCGAGACCGGAAGAGGUAAGUGGAACUGCGAGUGUAGAGGUGAAAUUCGUAGAUAUUCGCAAGAACACCAGUGGCGAAGGCGGCUUACUGGUCCGGUUCUGACGCUGAGGCGCGAAAGCGUGGGGAGCAAACAGGAUUAGAAACCCCCGUAGUCC
rnacentral:rRNA from 1 species